UUUAACGAUUGUGUUUACUUUGUGUUCUGAUCCCUCAGGUCCGUUUCUCAGUUUGGAAUGAGAGCAUGAGAGAUCAAUAUUGGGAAAUAUUCUCUCUGCUACCUUGGCUUCCGCCUGCUAAACAUAAGCUCUUCAUUUGAGACUACACUUGAACGCCGUCUCCUGCUAUUACGCUGCACAAGGGCAAAAAAAAAAAAGCUGCUGAGGACGCCAGUUGGUCUGAAGACGGCGGUAAUUAAGAGCCAAUUAUUCCACCUCUGGAGUCUUAUUAACGACGUUGGUGAGCAAGCGAGGCGAGCAGCAGGGUGUAAUCACUGGGGAGUGGUGACAGGAUAAUGGUAUGACCAGAACCCCUCUUUAUCAUUGCCUGUGGAUCUGACAGACCCAUACAGUACAGAACUAUCACGACAUGGGUUGCUACAACCGAUGAGUCUGCGGGGUGUCUAGCAGCCCUGGGCUGAAGAAAUGUUUGGGUUUCAAUCCACGCAUUUGAACUAAUUUUAUCAACAGAUCGACUUUUAUGGUACAGAAAAACUGUGGAUACUAAUUCUACCCCCAUAAAAAUAGAUAUAACAGUGGCAACACUAUCAAGAAGCACGAUUAUAGUCUGUAAACUUCACCCCUCUCAAUACAAGGAUAGCAGAGUGGGCUAGAGAGGCUCUCCAGAGGAAAGGACAUUCAAAGCCAUUACAGACAAUCUGAUUGCUUUGCGAAAGAGGUGUCCAAAGACCAACAGAACGGAAAUUAGGAAAUAAUGGAGGGGAAUAAUGAAAAACAAUGAAAACUGGCAGCAAGUCGGGAAAAAUGAUAAGGAGAGGAAAGAAAAAAAAAGGAGUGGUUUUGCUCAUUCCAUACCGUUUCACCUUUUAAAAGAGGUAAGAGAAAAAUCAGUUAUAUAAACGGGUUAGAAAAAAUAAUUCUUCUUGUUAUUUUAGAUUGCCUUCUAAUGUCGGCUCAUCUCGUUUCCUCUGCAAGUCUAAUUUAAGAUCCUAUCUCCUGCUCACCUUGGUGUGAUAUCACAUCAGAGUUCAGCCAGCAUGGAAUCUGAAUACCAAAUGGAUAGGCUAGACUAGUUAGUUUGGAAAUGGAAGAGAGAUUUCCCUCUCUUUCCCACUCCAUAUUUUCAUUUUCUUUCUCUCUCUCACAAUGUUUGGUGAAAACUGCAAUUGUGUACCU
ensembl:lncRNA